GACGAACGCUGGCGGCGUGCUUAACACAUGCAAGUCGAACGGAAAGGCCCUGCUUUUGUGGGGUGCUCGAGUGGCGAACGGGUGAGUAACACGUGAGUAACCUGCCCUUGACUUUGGGAUAACUUCAGGAAACUGGGGCUAAUACCGGAUAGGAGCUCCUGCUGCAUGGUGGGGGUUGGAAAGUUUCGGCGGUUGGGGAUGGACUCGCGGCUUAUCAGCUUGUUGGUGGGGUAGUGGCUUACCAAGGCUUUGACGGGUAGCCGGCCUGAGAGGGUGACCGGCCACAUGGGGGCUGAGAUACGGCCCAGACCCCUACGGGAGGCAGCAGUGGGGAAUAUUGCACAAUGGGGGGAAGCCGGAGGCAGCAACGCCGCGUGGGGGAUGACGGCCUUCGGGUUGGAAACCGCUUUCGCCUGUGACGAAGCGUGAGUGACGGUAAUGGGGAAAGAAGCACCGGCUAACUACGU
rnacentral:rRNA from 1 species